rnacentral:rRNA from 1 species
CAGCCGCCACGGGAAUACGUAGGUGGCAAGCGUUGUCCGGAAUUAUUGGGCAUAAAGGGCUCGCAGGCGGUUUCUUAAGUCUGAUGUGAAAGCCCCCGGCUCAACCGGGGAGGGUCAUUGGAAACUGGGAAACUUGAGUGCAGAAGAGGAGAGUGGAAUUCCACGUGUAGCGGUGAAAUGCGUAGAGAUGUGGAGGAACACCAGUGGCGAAGGCGACUCUCUGGUCUGUAACUGACGCUGAGGAGCGAAAGCGUGGGGAGCGAACAGGAUUAGAUACCCGUGUAGUCCCUGUCUCUUAUAC